UCCCCUUAUAUUUAUUAGCAAUUUACUUUUAGUAGACAUUUUUUUAUAAUUGUAUGGUCUCUUUCGGUGGCCCUGGUCGAGAAGUGCUUACUGAAGCUUUAUCUGUUGUUCUGAUGACUGUAAAAUAUUUUUUCAUGUGCAUGUACAACUUGUAUGAAUUUGAAUGAUUUAUUCAGAUCCUUGCUUUUGUAUUGCUCUUUGCAUCAUGUGCGCUAUUACCAUAAAAAUUGACUUCACCUUACCAUUUUUGGUUAUUUUAUCAUGCAUAAGUCACAAAUGAUGCAAAAACAUGCUGAUUAUUUUCAAUUAGCGAAUGGAACAGUGGAAUUUGGGUAGAUGCAUACCAACAAAUAUCCCACCAACUCAAUUUUUCCUUCAGAAGAAUGCCCAGCAACUGCUAUUGUGGCUUCAUAAUACAUUUGAGAAUUAAUAUAUAUUGAAAUUAAAAUUGGGAACUACUUAUGACUAGCGCAGGAAUAUAUGGAAUGAUUUCAUCUUGAAAUGACAUCUCUUAAGAGCGGUCUGCUUCAUGAAAAUAGAACAUUGCAUUAUGAAGGCCCACAAGUUUUUCCAGGUAGCUUCUACUUCAAGAAACUAAUAAUUACAUUGGAAUUAAGAAAUAUAUCUUGCUGCCUGCAUGCAUUUUGUUUUCAUAGAAAUAAAAGAUUUCUGUCAAGUGGAUUGGGAACAAAAAAUACCAAUAUGGAGGCCCAUAUUAGGAUUGUCGAAUAGAAAAUGUCAUAUUGAAGAGUGAGGUGGAGAUCAUGUUGCUGGUGAUAGGGAAUUUGAAGGUUGAGAAAGGAAAUACAAUUGUUAUUAUGGAGAUCAGAGGUGGAGAAAGCAAUGAUGCUGCAACUUUGUUAGGUGUUUUACCCACAAAUGUUUUUUAUCCAGUUAUUUUUCUCUGGUGCCCAACAAUGCCUAAUAGGCUAGAUGGCAUGAUUGUAAAUUCAUUAAGAGUAAAUGUGUUGCUAUUUGCAAUUCAAUGGUUUUUUUUUCUGUUUAUUAAAUGAUGUAAACUAAAAAGAGCAACUCUCUGAAUACAAUGACCUUAGAGAUUUACUCAA